UCCCCAGGGCAGUGGUCAUGGCACUGAGCCUGCUGGAGUUCAAGAAGCAUUUGGACUUUGCUGUCAGACAUAGGGUCUGAUUUUUGGGUGGUCCUGUGUGAAGCCAGGAGUUGGACUUCAUAAUCCUUGCAGGUCCCUUCCAACUCAGGAUAUUCUAUGAAUUUAAGAUUCUAUGAAACAGUAAAAAUUCCAUGUACAAUUUUAAAUUUAUUAAUUUCUAAUAGAAUGAGUCUUCACUCUUUAUUAUGUAAGGUGAAAGCUUGAAGAACUAUUUGCCUUUUUUUUUUUUUUUAGUUGUAUAUUUAAAAAUAUUUGGAUAAAACAUUUCCUGAUCAUGUCAUAUUAUAUACUGCAUUAUAUAUAUGUAUAUAUAGAUAUAUGUAUAUAUGUACUAUGAUAGCACUGCAUUUGGGCAGCAUGUAAACAAAAGAUCAGCAAUGUGCUUAGAAUGCCCAACCUGAGACCAAUAUAUAACUAACAUAAUUAGUCUUUUAUUGUUCUUGUAGGAAAACAGAUUCAAUAGCAGUUGUUGGAUAAGUGUAAUACCUGGAAUCAGUUUCCAACAGGAUAAAUUUAAGAUUUGAUGAUGACAUCUUGGAAAAUUCUACAAUUAAAGGCAUACUUUAAAGCUGUCCCAUAGUUGACAGUCCAUCAAUUAGCGAAUACUGUAAGGACACUUUAAUCAAUGACAAAUAAAUUAAAAAAAAUCCCCAUGAAUUUAUUGGUCUUUCAAAUCUUGGAAAAAAAUGCUAAUCUCAAUCCUUGAUUUCCCUUUUGGCAGCUUCUGCAAGUGAGCUGGAAAGUGUCUUUUAAAACGGAAUAGCUGAACUGAAACAAAUUCCUCUUGCUUUUGUCUCCAAGUGAACUGCACUGUGAAAGGACAUGAAAUGCGAAUGCACUGCCUAAGUAAAAGAUAAGGAAUGAUGAUAUUGAAAAAUGGUGGUAGAAGACUAUGAAGUACUCAAUGGAUGCUUUCUAAGUGAUAAUAAUAGCUACAAUGCCUUGAGGAGCAUAUGUAUUUCAUAUUUCAUCACUCUGAAAGUUUGUGGUGGACAUCUCACUGUGAGAUAUGUUACUCCUCCCUGUCGAACACUGUGUCCUGAGAAACCUUCCUGCAAAAAAGAAAGAAGUGUCGUCAGUUGUCUGUAACCUUCUUUUCAAUUGACAGGACAAGUUACGCUUUCCAUGCAGCUGUCUUAAUUUCCCGCAUCUUUGUUACAGAGUAUCUGAAACGUCUGGGUUUUACAUGCGGCAGCCAACAUGUUGUGAACAUUCCUUGUAUUAUGGAAAAAAAGCAGAGAUUUCCAGGUUGAGUGUGGGUGAAACAUGUUAUGAGAAGAGAUCCAGCAUCCUGGACUGCGUUCAACUCCACUGUUCAAAAUAACAAAUGCUGUGUAAAAGGCCAUUGGUUUAUCUCUGGCCUUUACAUUUCCAAGAGCUCCUUGGCAGGAUGACUUUUCUCUCUCAAUGUCAAUAACAAAUAGUAAGAUAAGCAGGGCACAGACUCUGCAAAAGAGUAAUAAAGAUGAAGAAAAAAAUUGUUUUCUGCCA
ensembl:lncRNA